AGAGUUUGAUCAUGGCUCAGGACAAACGCUGGCGGCGUGCAUAACACAUGCAAGUCGAACGGACCGGGAGACCGGUCAGUGGCGGACGGGUGAGGAACACGUGGGUGACCUGCCCAGGAGUGGGGAAUACCCGAGGGAAACCUCGGCUAAUGCCGCAUACGAUCACCGAGAGGUGAGGAAAGCGCUUCGGCGCGCUCGUG
rnacentral:rRNA from 1 species